rnacentral:miRNA from 1 species
CAUGAGACGACCUACAACUCCAUCAUGAAGUGUGACGUGGACAUCAGGAAAGACUUGUA